GGACAGCCUUCUGAAAGGAAGAUUAAUACAAGAUGGCAUCAUGAGUCCGCAUGUUCACACGAUUAAAGGUAUUCCGGUAGACGAUGGGGAUGCGUUCCAUUAGAUAGUAGGCGGGGUAACGGCCCACCUAGUCUUCGAUGGAUAGGGGUUCUGAGAGGAAGGUCCCCCACAUUGGAACUGAGACACGGUCCAAACUCCUACGGGAGGCAGCAGUGAGGAAUAUUGGUCAAUGGGCGAGAGCCUGAACCAGCCGAGUAGCGUGAAGGAUGACUGCCCUAUGGGUUGUAAACUUCUUUUAUAAAGG
rnacentral:rRNA from 1 species